GAUCAGACUCGAUAUUUUGUGAGCCUUGCCUUCGUGGCGGGGUGACCCGCAGCUUAUCGGGCCAGCAUCGGUUUGGGCGGUAGGAUAAUGGCGUAGGAAUGUGACUUUACUUCGGUGAAGUGUUAUAGCCUGCGUUGAUGCUGCCUGCCUAGACCGAGGACUGCGAUUUUAUCAAGGAUGCUGGCAUAAUGAUCCCAAACCGCCCGUCUUGA
rnacentral:rRNA from 1 species